rnacentral:rRNA from 1 species
CGCGUAGGCGGUUGUUUAAGUCGGAUGUGAAAGCCCUGGGCUCAACCUGGGAACUGCAUUCGAUACUGGACAACUAGAGUAUGAGAGAGGGAGGUAGAAUUCCAUGUGUAGCGGUGAAAUGCGUAGAUAUGUGGAGGAAUACCAGUGGCGAAGGCGGCCUCCUGGCUCAAUACUGACGCUCAGGUGCGAAAGCGUGGGGAGCAAACAGGAUUAGAUACCCUAGUAGUCC